rnacentral:tmRNA from 1 species
GGGGGUAACUGGAUUUGACAGCACGUAGAAACGGUAAGUAAGCAUGCAGAGCUUUGAUGUGCAAGCUCUAUAAUAACAACGCAUCGACCUAUAAUUGGCGAAAAUAACAAUUACGCUCUCGCUGCCUAAACUGAAGUAUAGUAGGUUGGCUUUAUUUUUCUCAAAGUGAGAAAAACGAGACAUCAUCCCAUUGCCCCGUUCCGAGACGUUUGGAAAAGAUGGUGCUGAGAAAUUCGGAAAUAGGAUCUGCAGAGCCUUGAUGCAGAUUUGAAAUUAAAAGGAUAAGGUGAAGAUUGGUUGCUUCUGACCUGUUUUCAUUCGAAAAUCAAUCAGAGAGCUAAGCAUGUAGAAAGCUUAUUGGGUCCGUGAUUGGACGAGGGUUCGACUCCCUCUACCUCCACUA